GCGGAGGUCGAACAAACAAUGAAAUCACGUCAUGAAGAAAGAAGUCUAAAUGAUGAUAAAAAUAAAGAUGGUGGGCUAGAAGGUGAUAAUGCUGGAAAAAUAGUUGAUGGUAUUGGAGGUGACAAUGCUGGUGAAAAAAAUGAUGGUGAGAAUGAAUUUGCUGAAAACGAUCAACCAGAACCAGGGACAACGGAAACAUUACUAAAUGAAAUCGAGAUCAGAUGUCAAGAAACAAAAAUAUAACAUUUAGUUGCUAAAGAUGCUUCGUUGGGAUUCAGUAAGUUUAUGCUUUAAAGGAUCAAUGGAAAGUAAAUCCUAUUGAAGGUGAUUCUUCUCAGGAAAGAAUAAAGAUGAAAACGAAAACAAAAUACAGUCAAUUCUAGACACAUUUCCAUUUCUUCAAGUACCCAUCACCCAAGAAACAACUAAAACCCACACUACCCCUGAACAAACAAAAGAAAAGAGAAUAUCUAAGCCAACUUCUGCAUAUAAAUCACCUUACGUUAACCGGAAAGUUCAACUUGGAACAAAGAUGAGUGAUGAUGAACAAUUGAUAGUAGAUUACAUAUUUUCUCCAACAGAUGAAUUCAAGUUUGUAUACAAGUCAGUUUAUGGGACAGAUUCAAUCAAAGUGGUUUUUGAAGCAAUGUUUGAUGGUGUAAAAAUUACAUCAGUCAUCAUUGACAAAUGGGCUGAAGUGCUAAACAAUGAAGAAAAAAAUGAAAAGCCAGUAUUCUCUUAGUAGGUUUUUUUGCUCAUCGCUUCUAUUGUUAAAGAAUCAUUAUGCACCUACAAGCACCGACGAAGUUCGACUUUUAAUGUUCACACAAAACUUGGAUCAAUGGCUUGAACAGUUUAAGUCAAACCGAUAAGAGAUUUUGACCUCCUGUUUUCCCCAUUUUAGCUUCAGAACAUUAUUACGUCGUGUGUUUCAAUAUGAACACUUCUAAAAUUGUGUUGAUCGAUAACAGCAAAAUGGGUGAAAAUUUCCAUGAUAGAUAUCAAGGGAUCCCUAAU